UACGAGCACCCCGAGUGGUCGGGACGAUUAUUGGGCCUAAAGCAUCCGUAGCCGGUUUUACAAGUCCUCCGUUAAAUCCAACUGCUUAACAGAUGGGCCGCGGAGGAUACUAUAAGACUAGGAGGCAGGAGAGGCAAGCGGUACUCAGUGGGUAGGGGUAAAAUCCGUUGAUCCAUUGAAGACCACCAGUGGCGAAGGCGGCUUGCCAGAAUGCGCUCGACGGUGAGGGAUGAAAGCUGGGGGAGCAAACCGG
rnacentral:rRNA from 1 species